UUCAUAAUAACAACAAGAUAUAAUAUUUUCAGCAAACUCAUUAGACAUUACGCUUAUUUGUGACGUGUACACUUGACACGCGUGUGUUAAACUCGCUGAAAUAUCCCGAAAACGAAGCAACGAAGCGAAAAACUGCAAAAGAAGAUACUCUAUAGAUUUUUAUAGUUCUUUCAAAUAAGACAACGAAAGUUUUCGUUUCAUAUGCACUUUGCAUGAGUGUACCUAUAAUUAAACAUUUUG